rnacentral:rRNA from 1 species
AGAGUUUGAUCAUGGCUCAGAACGAACGCUGGCGGCAGGCUUAACACAUGCAAGUCGAGCGCCCAGCAAUGGGAGCGGCGGACGGGUGAAUAACGCGUGGGAAUAUGCCCUUUGGUACGGAACAACUCAGGGAAACUUGAGCUAAUACCGUAUGUGCCAGAAAUGGGAAAGAUUUAUCGCCAAAGGAUUAGCCCGCGUCCGAUUAGCUAGUUGGUGAGGUAACGGCCCACCAAGGCACCGAUCGGUAGCUGGUCUGAGAGGACGACCAGCCACACUGGGACUGAGACACGGCCCAGACUCCUACGGGAGGCAGCAGUGGGGAAUCUUGGACAAUGGGGGAAACCCUGAUCCAGCCAUGCCGCGUGAGUGAUGAAGGCCUUCGGGUUGUAAAACUCUUUCGACGGGGACGAUAAUGACGGUACCCGUAGAAGAAGCUCCGGCUAACUUCGUGCCAGCAGCCGCGGUAAUACGAAGGGGGCUAGCGUUGUUCGGAAUUACUGGGCGUAAAGCGCGCGCAGGCGGCCUUCCAAGUCAGGGGUGAAAGCCCAGAGCUCAACUCUGGAACUGCCUUUGAAACUGUUAGGCUUGAGUACGGGAGAGGUGAGUGGAAUUCCCAGUGUAGAGGUGAAAUUCGUAGAUAUUGGGAAGAACACCGGUGGCGAAGGCGGCUCACUGGCCCGUAACUGACGCUCAGGCGCGACAGCGUGGGGAUCAAACAGGAUUAGAUACCCUAGUAGUCC